rnacentral:rRNA from 1 species
GACGAACGCUGGCGGCGUGCUUAACACAUGCAAGUCGUACGGUAAGGCCCUUUCUGGGGUGCACGAGUGGCGGACGGGUGGGUAACACGUGCGUAACCAGCCCACCACUUUGGGAUAACGCUAGGAAACUAGUGCUAAUAAUGGCUAUGUGCUCCUGCUGCAUGGUGGGGGUUGGAAAGAUCCGGCGGUUGUGGAUGGAUGUGCGGCCUAUUAGCUUGUUGGUGGGGGAGUGGGCUACCAAGGAGGCCACGGGCAGCCGGCCGGGGAGGGUGAACGGCCAAAUUGGGACUGGGGUACGGCCCAGGCCCCCUAGGGGGGCAGGAGGGGGGAAAAAUGGACAAAGGGGGCGAGCCCGGUGGAGCAACGCCGCGGGGGGGGUGACGGGCUUCGGGUUGUAAACCGCUUUCAGCAGGGACGGAGCUUUUUGUGACGGUACCUGGAGAAGAAGCACCGGCUAACUACGUG